rnacentral:rRNA from 1 species
GCGGACGGGUGAGUAACACGUGGAUAACCUACCUAUAAGACUGGGAUAACUUCGGGAAACCGGAGCUAAUACCGGAUAAUAUUUUGAACCGCAUGGUUCAAAAGUGAAAGACGGUCUUGCUGUCACUUAUAGAUGGAUCCGCGCUGCAUUAGCUAGUUGGUAAGGUAACGGCUUACCAAGGCAACGAUGCAUAGCCGACCUGAGAGGGUGAUCGGCCACACUGGAACUGAGACACGGUCCAGACUCCUACGGGAGGCAGCAGUAGGGAAUCUUCCGCAAUGGGCGAAAGCCUGACGGAGCAACGCCGCGUGAGUGAUGAAGGUCUUCGGAUCGUAAAACUCUGUUAUUAGGGAAGAACAUAUGUGUAAGUAACUGUGCACAUCUUGACGGUACCUAAUCAGAAAGCCACGGCUAACUACGUGCCAGCAGCCGCGGUAAUACGUAGGUGGCAAGCGUUAUCCGGAAUUAUUGGGCGUAAAGCGCGCGUAGGCGGUUUUUUAAGUCUGAUGUGAAAGCCCACGGCUCAACCGUGGAGGGUCAUUGGAAACUGGAAAACUUGAGUGCAGAAGAGGAAAGUGGAAUUCCAUGUGUAGCGGUGAAAUGCGCAGAGAUAUGGAGGAACACCAGUGGCGAAGGCGACUUUCUGGUCUGUAACUGACGCUGAUGUGCGAAAGCGUGGGGAUCAAACAGGAUUAGAUACCCUGGUAGUCCACGCCGUAAACGAUGAGUGCUAAGUGUUAGGGGGUUUCCGCCCCUUAGUGCUGCAGCUAACGCAUUAAGCACUCCGCCUGGGGAGUACGACCGCAAGGUUGAAACUCAAAGGAAUUGACGGGGACCCGCACAAGCGGUGGAGCAUGUGGUUUAAUUCGAAGCAACGCGAAGAACCUUACCAAAUCUUGACAUCCUUUGACAACUCUAGAGAUAGAGC